rnacentral:rRNA from 1 species
UAGGGAAUCUUCCGCAAUGGGCGAAAGCCUGACGGAGCAACGCCGCGUGAGUGAUGAAGGUCUUCGGAUCGUAAAACUCUGUUAUUAGGGAAGAACAAAUGUGUAAGUAACUAUGCACGUCUUGACGGUACCUAAUCAGAAAGCCACGGCUAACUACGUGCCAGCAGCCGCGGUAAUACGUAGGUGGCAAGCGUUAUCCGGAAUUAUUGGGCGUAAAGUGCGCGUAGGCGGUUUUUUAAGUCUGAUGUGAAAGCCCACGGCUCAACCGUGGAGGGUCAUUGGAAACUGGAAAACUUGAGUGCAGAAGAGGAAAGUGGAAUUCCAUGUGUAGCGGUGAAAUGCGCAGAGAUAUGGAGGAACACCAGUGGCGAAGGCGACUUUCUGGUCUGUAACUGACGCUGAUGUGCGAAAGCGUGGGGAUCAAACAGG